rnacentral:rRNA from 1 species
UACGUAGGUGGCGAGCGUUGUCCGGAUUUACUGGGCGUAAAGAGCGCGCAGGCGGUCGUUCAAGUCGCGUGUGAAAGCCCCCGGCUCAACUGGGGAGGGUCACGCGAUACUGAUCGACUCGAAGGCAGGAGAGGGAAGUGGAAUUCCCGGUGUAGUGGUGAAAUGCGUAGAUAUCGGGAGGAACACCAGUGGCGAAGGCGACUUCCUGGCCUGUUCUUGACGCUGAGGCGCGAAAGCGUGGGUAGCAAACAGG